rnacentral:rRNA from 1 species
AAAUUGAAGAGUUUGAUCAUGGCUCAGAUUGAACGCUGGCGGCAGGCCUAACACAUGCAAGUCGAGCGGUAGCACAGAGAGCUUGCUCUCGGGUGACGAGCGGCGGACGGGUGAGUAAUGUCUGGGAAACUGCCUGAUGGAGGGGGAUAACUACUGGAAACGGUAGCUAAUACCGCAUAACGUCGCAAGACCAAAGUGGGGGACCUUCGGGCCUCAUGCCAUCAGAUGUGCCCAGAUGGGAUUAGCUAGUAGGUGGGGUAACGGCUCACCUAGGCGACGAUCCCUAGCUGGUCUGAGAGGAUGACCAGCCACACUGGAACUGAGACACGGUCCAGACUCCUACGGGAGGCAGCAGUGGGGAAUAUUGCACAAUGGGCGCAAGCCUGAUGCAGCCAUGCCGCGUGUGUGAAGAAGGCCUUCGGGUUGUAAAGCACUUUCAGCGGGGAGGAAGGCGGUGAGGUUAAUAACCUCAUCGAUUGACGUUACCCGCAGAAGAAGCACCGGCUAACUCCGUGCCAGCAGCCGCGGUAAUACGGAGGGUGCAAGCGUUAAUCGGAAUUACUGGGCGUAAAGCGCACGCAGGCGGUCUGUCAAGUCGGAUGUGAAAUCCCCGGGCUUAACCGGGAACUGCAUUCGAAACUGGCAGGCUAGAGUCUUGUAGAGGGGUAGAAUUCCGUGUAGCGGUGAAAUGCGUAGAGAUCUGGAGGAAUACCGGUGGCGAAGGCGGCCCCCUGGACAAAGACUGACGCUCAGGUGCGAAAGCGUGGGGAGCAAACAGGAUUAGAUACCCUGGUAGUCCACGCCGUAAACGAUGUCGAUUUGGAGGUUGUGCCCUUGAGGCGUGGCUUCCGGAGCUAACGCGUUAAAUCGACCGCCUGGGGAGUACGGCCGCAAGGUUAAAACUCAAAUGAAUUGACGGGGGCCCGCACAAGCGGUGGAGCAUGUGGUUUAAUUCGAUGCAACGCGAAGAACCUUACCUGGUCUUGACAUCCACAGAACUUUCCAGAGAUGGAUUGGUGCCUUCGGGAACUGUGAGACAGGUGCUGCAUGGCUGUCGUCAGCUCGUGUUGUGAAAUGUUGGGUUAAGUCCCGCAACGAGCGCAACCCUUAUCCUUUGUUGCCAGCGGUCCGGCCGGGAACUCAAAGGAGACUGCCAGUGAUAAACUGGAGGAAGGUGGGGAUGACGUCAAGUCAUCAUGGCCCUUACGACCGUGGCUACACACGUGCUACAAUGGCAUAUACAAAGAGAAGCGACCUCGCGAGAGCAAGCGGACCUCAUAAAGUAUGUCGUAGUCCGGAUUGGAGUCUGCAACUCGACUCCAUGAAGUCGGAAUCGCUAGUAAUCGUAGAUCAGAAUGCUACGGUGAAUACGUUCCCGGGCCUUGUACACACCGCCCGUCACACCAUGGGAGUGGGUUGCAAAAGAAGUAGGUAGCUUAACCUUCGGGAGGGCGCUUACCACUUUGUGAUUCAUGACUGGGGUGAAGUCGUAACAAGGUAACCGUAGGGGAACCUGCGGUUGGAUCACCUCCUUACCUUAAAGAA